GACGAACGCUGGCGGCGUGCCUAAUACAUGCAAGUAGGACGCAGUUGCGAACGUGUGAGUAACGCGUAGGUAACUACCUAUCAGAGGGGGAUAACCAUUGGAAACGAUAGCUUACACCGCAUACUAGUAGAUGGACCUUCGUUGGAUUAGCUAGUAGGUAGGGUAAUGGCCUACCUAGGCAACGAUACAUAACCGACUUGAGAGGGAGGUCGGCCAACCUGGGAAUGGGGACCGGCCCAGGCUCCUGCGGGAGGCAGCAGUAGGGGAUCAUCGGAAAUGGGGGGAACGCUGACCGAGCAACGGCGCGGGAGUGGAGAAGGGUUUCGGAUCGUAAAGGUCUGUUGAGCAGGAAGCGUUACUUAACGAGGAAGGGACGGCUAACUACGUGCCAGCCGCCGCGGUAAUUC
rnacentral:rRNA from 1 species